CAUCCCUGUGAUGAUGUUUUUCACAAUAUUAACGUUAAAAGUAGACUGAAAUUGUUUGAUGAUAAAUUGCUUCUGAGGGAUG